UACGUAGGGGGCAAGCGUUGUCCGGAAUUAUUGGGCGUAAAGCGUGUGUAGGCGGCUCGGUAAGUCCGGUGUGAAAGCCCAGGGCUCAACCCUGGAAUGCCGGUGGAAACUGUCGAGCUCGAGUCCGGAAGAGGCGAGUGGAAUUCCUGGUGUAGCGGUGAAAUGCGCAGAUAUCAGGAGGAACACCGAUGGCGAAGGCAGCUCGCUGGGACGGUACUGACGCUGAGGCGCGAAAGCGUGGGGAGCAAACAGG
rnacentral:rRNA from 1 species